AAGUCGUAACAAGGUCUCCGUAGGUGAACCUGCGGAGGGAUCAUUACUGAGUGAGGGUUCCGGCCCGACCUCCAACCCCAUGUAUUCCGACUCUGUUGCCUCGGGGGCGACCCUGCCUUUGGGCGUUGGGGCCCCGGCUGGACACCACAACACUGCAUCUUUGCGUCUGAGUAACAUUUUGAAUUAAAUCAAAA
rnacentral:misc_RNA from 1 species